CCCUUAGAUGUUCUGGGCCGCACACGCGCUACACUGAAGGAGGCAGCGUGUACUCCUGGAUCGAAAGAUUUGGGUAACCCGCGAAUCUCCUUCGUGCUAGGGAUUGAGGUUUGCAAUUAUCCUUCAUGAACGAGGAAUUCCCAGUAAGUGCAAGUCAUAAGCUUGCGCUGACUACGUCCCUGCCCUUUGUACACACCGCCCGUCGCUACUACCGAUUGAAUGAUUUAGUGAGGACUUCGGACUUGGACCGAUGCGGCUUUCGGGCUGCGUCGGUAUUCUGGAAAGAUGUCCAAACUGUAUCAUUUAGAGGAAGUAAAAGUCGUAACA
rnacentral:rRNA from 1 species